rnacentral:pre_miRNA from 7 species
UUCGGGGGUUCCUGGGUAUCACGCAGAUCUCGGUGGAACCUCCAAAUGAAAGAACCUAGUGGGGAAACCCCCACUCAGCUCCCGAUUCGGUGUGCACCCAAGAAUCAUGAAUAGAACA